rnacentral:tRNA from 1 species
UAGCUCAGUUGGUAGAGUGUUUGUUUUGUAUGCACAAGGCCCUGGGUUCAAUCCCCAG